GCCGGAGUGGCGGAACGGGUAGACGCGCUGGUCUCAAAAACCAGUGGGGGAGACCCCGUGCCGGUUCGAGUCCGGCCUCCGGCACCA
rnacentral:tRNA from 1 species